rnacentral:rRNA from 1 species
CCUACGGGGAGGCAGCAGUGGGGAAUAUUGGACAAUGGGGGGAACCCUGAUCCAGCCAUGCCGCGUGUGUGAAGAAGGCCCUCGGGUUGUAAAGCACUUUCAGUGAGGAAGAACGCCUGGUGGUUAAUACCCAUCAGGAAAGACAUCACUCACAGAAGAAGCACCGGCUAACUCCGUGCCAGCAGCCGCGGUAAUACGGAGGGUGCGAGCGUUAAUCGGAAUUACUGGGCGUAAAGCGCGCGUAGGUGGCUUGAUAAGCCGGUUGUGAAAGCCCCGGGCUCAACCUGGGAACGGCAUCCGGAACUGUCAAGCUAGAGUGCAGGAGAGGAAGGUAGAAUUCCCGGUGUAGCGGUGAAAUGCGUAGAGAUCGGGAGGAAUACCAGUGGCGAAGGCGGCCUUCUGGACUGACACUGACACUGAGGUGCGAAAGCGUGGGUAGCAAACAGGAUUAGAUACCCCUGUAGUC